rnacentral:rRNA from 1 species
CUAGCGACUUCAGAGUUUGAUCCUGGCUCAGGAUGAACGCUGGCGGCGUGCCUAACACAUGCAAGUCGAACGAAGCGAUUUAACGGAAGUUUUCGGAUGGAAGUUGAAUUGACUGAGUGGCGGACGGGUGAGUAACGCGUGGGUAACCUGCCUCAUACAGGGGGAUAACAGUUAGAAAUGACUGCUAAUACCGCAUAAGCGCACAGGACCGCAUGGUCCGGUGUGAAAAACUCCGGUGGUAUGAGAUGGACCCGCGUCUGAUUAGCUAGUUGGUGGGGUAACGGCCUACCAAGGCGACGAUCAGUAGCCGACCUGAGAGGGUGACCGGCCACAUUGGGACUGAGACACGGCCCAA